rnacentral:rRNA from 1 species
GUACACUCCUACGGGAGGCAGCAGUGGGGAAUUUUGGACAAUGGGCGAAAGCCUGAUCCAGCAAUGCCGCGUGAGUGAAGAAGGCCUUCGGGUUGUAAAGCUCUUUUGUCAGGGAAGAAACGGUGAAAGCUAAUAUCUUUUGCUAAUGACGGUACCUGAAGAAUAAGCACCGGCUAACUACGUGCCAGCAGCCGCGGUAAUACGUAGGGUGCAAGCGGUAAUCGGAAUUACUGGGCGUAAAGCGUGCGCAGGCGGUUUUGUAAGUCUGAUGUGAAAUCCCCGGGCUCAACCUGGGAAUUGCAUUGGAGACUGCAAGGCUAGAAUCUGGCAGAGGGGGGUAGAAUUCCACGUGUAGCAGUGAAAUGCGUAGAUAUGUGGAGGAACACCGAUGGCGAAGGCAGCCCCCUGGGUCAAGAUUGACGCUCAUGCACGAAAGCGUGGGGAGCAAACAGGAUUAGAAACCCUUGUAGUCCC